rnacentral:misc_RNA from 1 species
AACGCACGAGACCUGCGGACCUGCGGAAGGAUCAUUAAUGAGAAACUGCCCCUCGCGGGUAGAUCUCCCACCCUUUGUAAACUUACCUUUGUUGCUUUUGCAGGCCCGUCUCCGGACCGCCGGCUUCGGCUGGCCAGUGCCUGCCAGAGGAUUCUAAAACUCUGUCUGUCAGUGUUGUCUGAGUCUAUAUACAAUCGUUAAAACUUUCAACAACGGAUCUCUAGAUCGGAAGAGCACACG